UACGGAGGAUGCGAGCGUUAUCCGGCUUUAUUGGGUUUAAAGGGUGCGUAGGCGGACUGUUAAGUCAGCGGUAAAAGCCCGGGGCUCAACCCCGGCGAGCCGUUGAAACUGGCUGUCUCGAGUUGGCGAGAAGUAUGCGGAAUGCGUGGUGUAGCGGUGAAAUGCUUAGAUAUUGCGCAGAACUCCGAUUGCGAAGGCAGCAUACCGGCGGCGAUCUGACGCUGAGGCACGAAAGCGUGGGUAUCGAACAGG
rnacentral:rRNA from 1 species